UACGGGGGGGAGCAAGCGUUGUUCGGAUUUACUGGGCGUAAAGGGCGCGUAGGCGGUCACUACAAGUCAGUUGUGAAAUCUCUGGGCUUAACUCAGAACGGUCAACUGAUACUGUCGGACUAGAGUGCAGAAGGGGGCAACUGGAAUUCCUGGUGUAGCGGUGAAAUGCGCAGAUAUCAGGAGGAACACCGGUGGCGAAGGCGGCCUUCUGGGCAUUUCCUGACGCUGAGGCGCGAAAGCGUGGGGGAGCGAACCGG
rnacentral:rRNA from 1 species